UCCUACGGGAGGCAGCAGUGGGGAAUAUUGCACAAUGGGCGCAAGCCUGAUGCAGCCAUGCCGCGUGUGUGAAGAAGGCCCUAGGGUUGUAAAGCACUUUCAGCAGUGAGGAAAGGUUAGUAGUUAAUACCUGCUAGCUGUGACGUUAACUGCAGAAGAAGCACCGGCUAACUCCGUGCCAGCAGCCGCGGUAAUACGGAGGGUGCGAGCGUUAAUCGGAAUUACUGGGCGUAAAGCGCGCGUAGGUGGAUUGGUCAGUCAGAUGUGAAAGCCCAGGGCUCAACCUUGGAACUGCACCUGAUACUGCCAAUCUAGAAUACGGUAGAGGGUAGUGGAAUUUCCUGUGUAGCGGUGAAAUGCGUAGAUAUAGGAAGGAACACCAGUGGCGAAGGCGACUACCUGGACCGAUAUUGACACUGAGGUGCGAAAGCGUGGGGAGCAAACAGGAUUAUAUACCCUGGUAGUCCACGCCAUAA
rnacentral:rRNA from 1 species